rnacentral:rRNA from 1 species
UACGUAGGGCGCAAGCGUUGUCCGGAAUUAUUGGGCGUAAAGAGCUCGUAGGCGGUCUGUUGCGUCCGCUGUGAAAACCCAGGGCUUAACCCUGGGCUGGCAGUGGAUACGGACAGACUAGAGGUAGGUAGGGGAGAAUGGAAUUACCGGUGUAGCGGUGAAAUGCGCAGAUAUCGGGAGGAACACCGGUGGCGAAGGCGGUUCUCUGGGCCUUACCUGACGCUGAGGAGCGAAAGCGUGGGGAGCGAACAGG